GUGGGGAAUUUUGGACAAUGGGCGCAAGCCUGAUCCAGCAAUGCCGCGUGCAGGAAGAAGGCCUUCGGGUUGUAAACUGCUUUUGUACGGAACGAAACGGUCCUGGUUAAUACCUGGGGCUAAUGACGGUACCGUAAGAAUAAGCACCGGCUAACUACGUGCCAGCAGCCGCGGUAAUACGUAGGGUGCGAGCGUUAAUCGGAAUUACUGGGCGUAAAGCGUGCGCAGGCGGUGCUGUAAGACAGGCGUGAAAUCCCCGGGCUCAACCUGGGAAUUGCGCUUGUGACUGCAGUGCUGGAGUACGGCAGAGGGGGAUGGAAUUCCGCGUGUAGCAGUGAAAUGCGUAGAUAUGCGGAGGAACACCGAUGGCGAAGGCAGUCCCCUGGGCCUGUACUGACGCUCAUGCACGAAAGCGUGGGGAGCAAACAGGAUUAGAAACCCUGGUAGUCC
rnacentral:rRNA from 1 species